rnacentral:rRNA from 1 species
GAAUGCCUGGCGGCGUGCCCUAAUACAUGCCAAGCUCGAGGCGAAUGGAAUUGAGAGCUUGCUCUCAAGGAAGUUAGCGGCGGACGGGUGAGUAACACGUGGGUAACCUGCCCAUAAGACUGGGAUAACUCCGGGAAACCGGGGCUAAUACCGGAUAACAUUUUGAACUGCAUGGUUCGAAAUUGAAAGGCGGCUUCGGCUGUCACUUAUGGAUGGACCCGCGUCGCAUUAGCUAGUUGGUGAGGUAACGGCUCACCAAGGCAACGAUGCGUAGCCGACCUGAGAGGGUGAUCGGCCACACUGGGACUGAGACACGGCCCAGACUCCUACGGGAGGCAGCAGUAGGGAAUCUUCCGCAAUGGACGAAAGUCUGACGGAGCAACGCCGCGUGAGUGAUGAAGGCUUUCGGGUCGUAAAACUCUGUUGUUAGGGAAGAACAAGUGCUAGUUGAAUAAGCUGGCACCUUGACGGUACCUAACCAGAAAGCCACGGCUAACUACGUGCCAGCAGCCGCGGUAAUACGUAGGUGGCAAGCGUUAUCCGGAAUUAUUGGGCGUAAAGCGCGCGCAGGUGGUUUCUUAAGUCUGAUGUGAAAGCCCACGGCUCAACCGUGGAGGGUCAUUGGAAACUGGGAGACUUGAGUGCAGAAGAGGAAAGUGGAAUUCCAUGUGUAGCGGUGAAAUGCGUAGAGAUAUGGAGGAACACCAGUGGCGAAGGCGACUUUCUGGUCUGUAACUGACACUGAGGCGCGA